UACGUAGGAUGCAAGCGUUGUCCGGAAUUAUUGGGCGUAAAGAGCGUGUAGGCGGCUUGACAAGUCCGCUGUGAAAACUCGAGGCUCAACCUCGAGACGUCGGUGGAAACUGUCUCGCUAGAGCCCGGAAGAGGAGAGUGGAAUUCCUGGUGUAGCGGUGAAAUGCGCAGAUAUCAGGAAGAACACCCGUGGCUAAGGCGGCUCUCUAGUACGGUACUGACGCUGAGACGCGAAAGCGUGGGGAGCGAACAGG
rnacentral:rRNA from 1 species